GCUAAGGACUCAUUCUGACCAGAAAUGUUAGGAGUGUAACACCAGCUACAGAGAAGGAGGUGAAAUACUGCAUCUAUUUUUUUUGCCAAGCCAGCCACCUCAACUUAAGCCACUUCUGAAGGAAGUUUGGGACUUGUUACUGGCUGAGGAUGAAGUGAUUACCCUGCA